rnacentral:rRNA from 1 species
CCUACCAAGGCGAUGAUGCAUAGCCGAGUUGAGAGACUGAUCGGCCACAUUGGGACUGAGACACGGCCCAAACUCCUACGGGAGGCAGCAGUAGGGGAAUCUUCCACAAUGGACGCAAGUCUGAUGGAGCAACGCCGCGUGAGUGAAGAAGGGUUUCGGCUCGUAAAGCUCUGUUGUUGGUGAAGAAGGACAGGGGGUAUAACUGACCUUUGUUUGACGGUAAUCAAUUAGAAAAGUCACGGGCUAACUACGUGCCCAGCAGCCGCGGGUAAAU